GCGAGCGAGUGAUCGUAAGCAAAUCUCAAAAAUAACGUCUCAGUUCGGAUUGUAGUCUGCAACUCGACUACAUGAAGCUGGAAUCGCUAGUAAUCGCGAAUCAGCAUGUCGCGGUGAAUACGUUCCCGGGUCUUGUACACACCGCCCGUCACACCAUGGGAGUUGGUAACGCCCGAAGCCAGUGACCCAACCUUAAGAGGAGGGAGCUGUCGAAGGUGGGACCGAUAACUGGGGUGAAGUCGUAACAAGGUACC
rnacentral:rRNA from 1 species